GUCCACGCCGUAAACGAUGGAUACUAGCUGUUGGGAGCAAUUUCAGUGGCUAAGCGAAAGUGAUAAGUAUCCCACCUGGGGAGUACGAACGCAAGUUUGAAACUCAAAGGAAUUGACGGGGGCCCGCACAAGCGGUGGAGCAUGUGGUUUAAUUCGAUGAUACGCGAGGAACCUUACCAAGGCUUAAAUGUAGAUUGACAGGUUUGGAAACAGACUUUUCUUCGGACAAUUUACAAGGUGCUGCAUGGUUGUCGU
rnacentral:rRNA from 1 species